GCAUCUCCCCAUCUGAUACAUCACCGGACACUUUCUGAGCCUAAGGAUCGUCUCACAAUGAGAACACUUGAAAGUUACAGGGAACCUUUUCUGAAUCGACGGAAUUUUGGAAUUUUAACAUCAACCGAUCAACUUGCUUUUUUUAAAUCAACCUCUUUUAAAAUUCUUCUCUGUGAAAUUGGAACAUAGUAGAAUUCUAAAGGACCUGAAAAAUCGGGGGAUCACUCUCCAGGAACGUCUCUCACACCGGGUGAGAGAAUCUGAAUGGUUCCAGCAUUUUGGACAAAGAGAACUUUGGUUAAUUCGAUGAAACUGAAGCAAUGAUGGAAGAACUCUCACUCUUUACAGUCUAAUCUUUCAAACAACAUAGAAAAGGAGAAAUACAGGAAGUGAGAAUAUACCAGAACUCGAUUAUUAAUGCCUGAAUGAACAAACCCUAUUGAUAAGCUCAUUUCUAUGGUCGUAAAUUGAUAAAGGCAACAAUAUCAUCAUCAAUGUGUCCAACAAUGAGGCAACUCUCUCGAUAAGGACACUGCCUGUGAUCUGUCUCAAAGUAUUUUCAUUCAGUAGCAGUCAGCUGACUGCGUACUGAUCUCAUAAGUGCAACGGGGCACAUAAGGAAUGAAAGUGAGAGCAAACUGACACACAACAGCAGGAUGUUGAGACUGGGGGAGUAGAAAGAACUUAUUAAUAUUUCCAUCUCCACUUUUACAAAUAGGAGAACGAGGAUGCAACUAAUCAGUGUCUGGUUUGUUUGGCGACUAUUUAUGACUGGUAAUUCUGGACAAAACACAUUACAACCUGAGCAGUGUCUCAGGUUAAAUUUUGAACACAAGUCCACAUGAUAUUUCCUCAUUAGACAUUUUCAUAUUCGAGCCACGGGACUUCUGUCACUCAGCCACUUUCAUCAGAAGUUAAGAGAACAGAUGCUAACUUUAUGCUGUACCAACAAAGCUGCAUGGAAUUGUUAUUACUUCCUAUGGUAUCACCAAAAACCAAACACACAGCCUGAGCUCGUUCUCUUAUGAAUACUCCAACGAUGGUGCACAAAGCAGAAUUUUCUAAAAUCCUUUUCACUGCUGAGCUCCAGACCUUGAGAAAAUUCAGCAGUUUAAUGAUCUCAGAUCUGCAGCGAAAAGAAAAGAGAGAGAGAAAAAAGAAAGAAAGAACGAAAGAAAGAAAGAAAGAAAGAGAAAGAACAUGCCUAUUGUAAUGCAAGACAACUGGCACCAACUGUGCACAGAAGAAUAUUCCAGUAAUCCAGAACAGUAAUUACAAAAUGAGCAGAAACCAUAUUUAUUUUUUCACUAUUAACAUCGAAACAUGCGUAAUACUAGAAACAAUAGAAUAUGUCUGUUCAAGUCUGCUCUGCCAUUCAUUUUGAUAAUGGUUGAUUAUUAUACCCAGUGCCCUGUUCCCGCUUUCUACGUGAAGACUAAAUAUUGACACAGGACUAUGAAGAUAACUUGUCUUGUUAUUUCAUGAAAUGAAGCCGAGAUGUAUUUGAUGUUCAAUUAAGAAGGUAAACACAAAUUUCAACCAGAGAGGCAUAAACUCUGAUCAUUCAGAAUUUGUUCAGCAUUUUUUAUUAAGGGACCUGACGCAUCUUGACUUUUUAUCUUGUAUUUCUUUACUUUCGCAUUUUGAGUCUAGUACUUAUUCCUUGUAAAUUGAAAGUAUUAUAUUCUCGGGCGCACUGGUGCUAAAUGGCAUCAGUAUGGUAUUGAGCUGUGUUCUUUUUUACCAUUUGAAGCAUUCAGUAGAGAUGUGUAAGGACACAUUAACAUUCUUUUCAGCUCCUUUUGGAACUUGUUCUGGGUUGCCGCAGAGAUGAAGACAUUGUUGCAGGAACUGAUUACCUGGAGCUUGUUGGGUGUUUCUUGAAGAAUGUUCUGCGGGUCUUUGAAUUUCAAGCUGCUGGCGUAAUGCUCAUUAGUAAUCAAUCGGUAGAGGAAGCGACCCAUACAGUUGGCCAACAGGGGGAGGAAGCUGAGAGAGAUGGCGAAGAGCAGGACGAUGGAUCUCUUGCGGGUCACCAUCUCUGGAUCUUUACCAUUCUCACUGCCCCUGAGUCUCUUGCGUGCUCUGCCAGCUAAUAUGAUGCGUCUGCCCGUCAGGGCAUUGAGCAGAGGAAUGAGGAGGAAUGGGAGAAAGGGGGUUAAGAUUCGUUCGAGCCAGUCUAACACCCGCCAGGCAGGCAAAAUGUGGAAAGUGAGUGUGAUAUCACAGAAGCAUGGCAUCCCGUCGAGGAUAUACAUAGACUGGGUGUAAAUGAAGUAGAAAGGGGCGUUCUUGAAAUAGCUCAGGGAAAAGGUCACUGCUAAGACCAGCGAUGCAAUUUUCUUAGUACAAUAUCUGGCCUUCAAGCUCUGGAGACAAAUGUUCACAAACCUUCACAAUUGUGAAGGCCGCUAUUGGACAGGAAGAGAAUUCCCAGGUUGUGUACAUCAGCACAGUAUUGAGACUGUAGCCAGGGGUAGCGAAAAGGAUACUAUAGCAUUAAUAAACACAGUUAAGUAUUGCAUUUGCCAUGAUGACAAGCAAAUCGCUCAACACUAUGGCCACCAGAUAGUAAGAAAUGCACAGAACACAUCUGCACCAGUCUCGGGAGGUAGUCAUAAUUGCCACCAGUUUGGCUGUGAAGGUACCAAGAGAGGAGUAUAUAACCAAGUGAACUGGGACUAUACCGAUGCCUUGCUAUCCAACCCAGGCACAUUUUACCACUUGCUCCUUCAGCCAUUAUUCAUACUAAGUCUCAUGCGUUCAGGAACUCUAUACUUACUGAGCAACAUUGGCUUUCAAUCCAGCAACGUCAGGGUUAUAAUAAUCUCAUGCAUCACCAUUUUAAAGUAUUGUUGCAGUCUUCCCACUAUCGUCCGUAAAAUUCUACAGCCACCUGAGAUCACUGUUCCUAUAAUUCUGGCCUGACACCAAGCCUUAUUUCGGUAGCAGCUGUGAACAUAAAUGUAGAGAUUUACAUCUCCGUUAUUUACUCCCUCAACUACUGUCGCCCUCCAUUCUAUUUCAGGACAUGAUUUAGAAUAUCUCUUGGAUCAAGGAUCUGGGUGUCAACAUUAAUAUCACCUUCUGUACUUUAUAGUCAACUUUAUUUGUGAUACAUGAUAAGCAGCAACCACACCAAACAUAAUGCGAGAGCUGAAGAUAGAAGCAAACUCUAUUCUGAAGUUUAAAUUAACGAUGCUCUCCUUGCCAGCACUAGCAACAGGCCCACUAAGGAAGGAAAAGCUGAAUUAUCCAAAGUAAAAGCAAAACUUACAACAACUGUCAAGACAAACCGAAAGUAUAAUCCGUAAAAAUUAUUGUAUUUCGGCACACGUUUCAAAUGUCUCCAUAAUUAACUUCGAUGACCACAUUAACAUGUUAACCAUACAUGAAAUAUGCUGCUGAUAUUAUUCUUAACAAGAAAUAU